AAAGCAUAUUAAAAAGAAAAAAAAUAUAUUAUUUGCACUAUGUCUAAUGUAAUAUAAAAGAAGUGCAUACCUACAUUUUCAACUUAAUACACAAAUUAUGAUGUUUCUAAACUUAGCCUUUAAAAGAACAUAUGAAAGCCGUAUUUGCUUGUCAGGCCAACGGCAAUGAUGAUCCUAGAAAGCAACAUCAAAAAAUAAGUUUUAAAACAUAAAAUAUGAAGUCGAUGAACCACCCUAAACCUUAUAUGCAGGGGAUAACUGGAAAAGCUAAGAAUCGAUUUGAACUUAUGUCAAAGCAAUCAACCAUGCUUUGGCAUACACAUCUCAAGCAGAAUAAUUUAAAUGUCAAACACUAUCACAAUACCCAUGCAUAGAAAAAACAUUUCACAAUAUCCAUCUAACAAAAAUUGAAACAACAAAUUAAAAAUAAAAAGAUCUAAUAAAAAAAUUAAAAUCUAACAAAAAAAAAAAUUUAAAGUGCUGUGUGACUCUGAGAAUAAGAGAAGAAGAGAGAAGAAGGAGAAGAAUAGAAGAAUAGGAGAGGAGAGAGAGAGGAAAGA
rnacentral:misc_RNA from 1 species